ensembl:snRNA U12 U12 minor spliceosomal RNA
GAUUCUUAAACUUAUGAGUAAGGAAAGUAACAAUUUGGGGUGGUGCCCAGAUCCUCACUGCUAAUGUGAGACGGAUUUCUGAGCGGAGCCAGUAUCUGCCCUCCCCCCUUCCCCACUGGAAGAGCAGACUGG